CAAAAUCACUGCCACGAACUCACGAAGCCCAUCUUUUAUUCUUCCUCUUCCUUGGACAGGACGGGCCGUUAGGCCUCCGCGUCGGCGUCGAUCCAAUUCGCCGUCGCCCAUGGUUUUCGACGCCGGUGAUUCUUCCCUAGUCCGCAGUCUUCCCCCCAUCCCAGCUCGCAUCCCCUUGAUCUGAGUCAUCGGUACCCCAUUCACCUUGUCUUCCCCUUCGUCGAAGUCGCCGGCACAUCGCCGUAGGCGCGUGUGCCUUUCCGCAGCGAGCAUUCGUGCCCUGGUCGUCCAGCGUUCUGAUAAUUGGCCAUCUCAUCCACAAGGUACUCUGCCUUCUUCUCAUCUCGGGCAUCAUAUCUCUACGGUUAACAGUUCUUCGGUUCGGACUUUCCCCUUCCCAUGUCGUGUCCCAUGUCCUCGAUCUUAAAAGACGAUAAUUUGGUGUUGAGAAUUUGGAUCCGGUGAAUUCUUUUUUCUUUACUGAAAUAGCAUGUGCAUCGCAAACUCAUUUUCUCUUGUCCUGCAUCUUGGAGUCCCUGGAACUUGUCCGGAUCUGGGUAUGGUGUUGCCAAUUGGGGCCUGGUGCUCUGAUGUUGACAGCCAGGCUAUCCGUGAGACAGUGCGUUCAUUUAUAGGUGCAUAAUACAAGUGAACCUUGUUAGUUGUAGAACUGGGGCUUUGUUUAGCAGCGAUGAGAAAUCUCCAGAAUUUUGUUGGUAGUUUGUCAUCUUCUGUCUACUUAUUCCAAAUCAUUGGAUGUAUACCAAGUGCAUUUUUAGCAAAUAUAUUCCAUAAGAUGGUAUGAUUCUGGCCUGUUCCAUCACGUAGGAAAACAUAGAUUCAUUUUUUUUUGUCUUGUAUGGCAAGGUGGACGCCUAAGUUUCAUAUAUCUAGAUAAAAUAUUCUUUAUACUAUAUCUUGGUACGACAACUUCAUGAUCAUAAAUAAUAAUUUGCCCAUUGUCUAUCCCCUGCUUUUCCCACUUUGCUGUGCGGAUCUCAUUUAAUGCCUGUUCUCUGAAUGUGAUUUCUCAGCUCCAGAUAACAGUGGAAUCUUUUUGUCGCUCUGUAGCUGCAUGACGAGUAGUGUUGUGUGCAUUCAGUAGGGAUGAAAACGGAUCGGAUACGGACGGAUAUCACUGAUAUCGUAUUUAUUUUCAUAUUUGUGUUCGAAUAUGGAGUCGGAUACAAAUAGUGUUAGUUUUUGUCGGAUAAAAUUGUAAUGGAUACCGACAUCAUAAAAAUAUAACUUUUGAGCAUUUGAAUACGGAUCGGUUACGGACAUUGAAUACUCGAAAUCGGAUAUGGACGGAUAAAAACCCUUCCAGACCGGAUCAAAUUCGAAUACGAUCAGAAAAUAUCCGUACCAUUUACAUCCCUAGCAUUCAGCCACAUUAAUAUUAAGCACACAGUUCAUGUCGAUCUUUUUCACAUAUAUGCAAGUAAUUUCAUACCAUUAAGUCAGUUAUUCUUCAGUGUGAAUCGUGGAGGCUUUAAUUGAUAAAACAUGUAGUAAUUUGCUUCACGAAAUUGUAUAUUGAAUGAUUGCCAAAACCUCUGAUUCAUGUUUGAAAUUGUAUAUUGAAUGAUUGUCAUUAGUCCAUAUGUAAUUGGCGUAGCCUUCUAAUAUAAAUUCUGAAGCUGCAAGCUUCUUCACGGUGUUGCUGGAAAACUUGAAGCUAUCUUGUGGGCAUUUAUCUGCAAAUUGUGUACUUUGGACUUCGCAUGGCUUUUAUGUUACAUGCAGAUACUCUGACGGCCUGACUACAGUUCGCUUGAAAUUUGGCAAAUACAUGAUUCUUAUUAUCAGUUAUCUAGGAUAGGUGGUGUAAUUAUGUUAUUGGAUUUUUGCUUUGUUCAUGUGUGCAAAAUUUUCUAGAAUCCAUGUACUCUGUUUUAACUGAAGUUCAUUGUACAAUGAUGUUUCAUUCCGUGCAUGUGUAAUUAUUUUAUUUAUUUGUGUGUAUAAAAUGUCUUCUACAUGAUGUUGUAUACGAAAAAUAUUGGGGUCUUUUCAGAUUUUCAGUGUAAUCUGCAAUUCAAAAGAAUUUUCUUGUUACGGUGACAAUCA